UUCUGGUGCCAUGGCUUGGUGCUGAGCUCCUAGUGCUAACGGCCCUCACCACACCCUUCCCAGACCUCGGCGGCUGUGGAAGGAGGAAGAAGUAUUUGUAUUUUCAACCCUUAGUUGCCUUUCAGAGGUUCUCACUGAAGUUCCUUUAGUACCUGUGGAAGAGAAUCGGUACUCUGCCCACGAAGUUUGACAACUGUUUCUGAAGAGCUCGAGGUGGAAGAACCGAUUUCCUUCACAAUCAACCCUGAAACAAAACACAGAGGGAAAAAAAACAAUGAAUUCUUCAAAUAAUUCACACUUCUUGCUACAUAUUCUGACAUAUACUGUUACCAGGAAUGAAAUUCUCUCUUGUUUAUGGUAAACAGCGGGUAGUGAGGAAAUGUGGGUUAGAGCGCAGAAAGGAGUUUAGAGUCUGAGUUUUCUAAAAUAAAAUCCUGAUUAUGCUGCUUAUGAAGUUAGAAAUAAAAAACAAAGACUGUA